rnacentral:rRNA from 1 species
CAGUCGCCGCGGGAAUACGAAGGGUGCAAGCGUUAAUCGGAAUUACUGGGCGUAAAGCGUGCGUAGGCGGUUUGUUAAGUCUGUUGUGAAAUCCCCGGGCUCAACCUGGGAAUGGCAAUGGAUACUGGCAAGCUAGAGUGUGUCAGAGGAUGGUGGAAUUCCCGGUGUAGCGGUGAAAUGCGUAGAGAUCGGGAGGAACAUCAGUGGCGAAGGCGGCCAUCUGGGACAACACUGACGCUGAGGCGCGAGAGCGUGGGGAGCAAACAGGAUUAGAUACCCGCGUAGUCCCUGUCUCUUAUAC